rnacentral:rRNA from 1 species
UGAUGCAGCAACGCCGCGUGAGCGAUGAAGGCCUUCGGGUCGUAAAGCUCUGUCCUCAAGGAAGAUAAUGACGGUACUUGAGGAGGAAGCCCCGGCUAACUACGUGCCAGCAGCCGCGGUAAUACGUAGGGGGCUAGCGUUAUCCGGAAUUACUGGGCGUAAAGGGUGCGUAGGUGGUUUCUUAAGUCAGAGGUGAAAGGCUACGGCUCAACCGUAGUAAGCCUUUGAAACUGGGAAACUUGAGUGCAGGAGAGGAGAGUGGAAUUCCUAGUGUAGCGGUGAAAUGCGUAGAUAUUAGGAGGAACACCAGUUGCGAAGGCGGCUCUCUGGACUGUAACUGACACUGAGGCACGAAAGCGUGGGGAGCAAACAGGAUUAGAUACCCUGGUAGUCCACGCCGUAAACGAUGAGUACUAGCUGUCGGAGGUUACCCCCUUCGGUGGCGCAGCUAACGCAUUAAGUACUCCGCCUGGGAAGUACGCUCGCAAGAGUGAAACUCAAAGGAAUUGACGGG